GGCAAAAGCUUUGUACCCAGAGUCUGACGGUCAGACAUUGCACCUGGAGCUUUCCCUUUGGGCAAUAAACCUGGUC
rfam:Ophiophagus hannah scaffold185.1, whole genome shotgun sequence.